rnacentral:rRNA from 1 species
GACGAACGCUGGCGGCGUGCUUAACACAUGCAAGUCGAACGGAAAGGCCCUGCUUUUGUGGGGUGCUCGAGUGGCGAACGGGUGAGUAACACGUGAGUAACCUGCCCUUGACUUUGGGAUAACUUCAGGAAACUGGGGCUAAUACCGGAUAGGAGCUCCUGCUGCAUGGUGGGGGUUGGAAAGUUUCGGCGGUUGGGGAUGGACUCGCGGCUUAUCAGCUUGUUGGUGGGGUAGUGGCUUACCAAGGCUUUGACGGGUAGCCGGCCUGAGAGGGUGACCGGCCACAUUGGGACUGAGGUACGGCCCAGACGCCUACGGGAGGCAGCAGUGGGGAAUAUUGCACAAUGGGCGGAAGCCUGAUGCAGCAACGCCGCGUGCGGGAUGACGGCCUUCGGGGUGUAAACCGCUUUCGCCUGUGACGAAGCGUGAGUGACGGUAAUGGGUAAAGAAGCACCGGCUAACUACGUG